UACGUAGGGUCCGAGCGUUGUCCGGAAUUACUGGGCGUAAAGAGCUCGUAGGUGGUUUGUCGCGUUGUUCGUGAAAACUCACAGCUCAACUGUGGGCGUGCGGGCGAUACGGGCAGACUUGAGUACUGCAGGGGAGACUGGAAUUCCUGGUGUAGCGGGGGAAUGCGCAGAUAUCAGGAGGAACACCCGUGGCUAAGGCGGCUCUCUAGUACGGUACUGACGCUGAGACGCGAAAGCGUGGGGAGCGAACAGG
rnacentral:rRNA from 1 species